rnacentral:misc_RNA from 1 species
UUUCCGUAGGUGAACCUGCGGAAGGAUCAUUAUUGUAUAACCAAGGUGCGAGGCCCUUCGCUGACUCGACAGGUCGUGUACGCCCGAGUGCUCCCCCACACAUCGAUCUCACCCUUUUGUGGAGAACCGCGCGGCUGCUCCCUACGUCUGUUCGGAGGGUGGCUUACGUGGUCAGACAAAUUUUGUCUGCAUUGUAGAAUGUAUUUUUUGCUUGUGCGUGCCCUCAAUUAAGACAACUUUCAACAACGGACCUCCUGGCUUUCGCACCGAUGACGAACG